rnacentral:lncRNA from 1 species
CAUUUCUAUUUCCUUGCAUGCAUGUCUAGUUGUGUAGUAUUAUAGACUUGACACUUAAAUCUAGAAUGCAUGAGGAUUAGGGUUGUGACAUGAGAUCCUAUGAUGAUAAGAAAAUAGAGAACUUGGAUUUGACGAUGAAAACUAGUGACAUGUGAACUAGUGUAUAGAAAACAAUUAUAACUUGGACGAGUGGCAUGUAGAUAAUGCAAAUACAUGACGAGUGGCAUGUAAACCUAGUGUUGUGAACCUAGGAUAGAUCGGGUGGCAUUUGAACAUAGUGUAAAGAACACAUUGAUGCAACGAGCUUAGGGAUUAGUUGAGUUUCCCUAGUUAUGGAACAUUGGAUAAUAGUUGAGUGUAGUUGACACUACGGCAUCGAACUUAGGGAUAGUUAAAUUUCCCUAGUGUGAUUUAAUUAGUAUGGUUGAGACACUUGACAUGGACCUAGGGAUAGGUGGACUUUCGAGUGUUUGUUAACCUAGUUGACAGGGUAUCCUCAGUUGGCGAGGAUUGGAUCAUACUCACAUAGUCUGUUUUGGGCUUGUGGUGGUCGCUCCACACAAGCAGUGCACUCCGGAGUUGUCACACGAGCGGGGUAGCUCAUGAGCGGGGUAGCUCAUCGGGUGGGAUACGAGCGGGGUAGCUCCUUACCCAUUGGACUGGGACGUGAGUUGGGGCGAAGGGCGGGGUAGCCUUUCCCCUAUGAGAUUGAGC